AGCCGCAUAGCUCAGUGGUAGAGCAGUGCCUUGAUAAGGCACAGGUCGCUGGUUCGAUGCCAGCUGCGGCUACCA
rnacentral:tRNA from 1 species